rnacentral:rRNA from 1 species
UGAGGAAUAUUGGUCAAUGGGCGAGAGCCUGAACCAGCCAAGUAGCGUGCAGGAUGACGGCCCUAUGGGUUGUAAACUGCUUUUAUGUGGGGAUAAAGUGAGCUACGUGUAGUUUAUUGCAGGUACCACAUGAAUAAGGACCGGCUAAUUCCGUGCCAGCAGCCGCGGUAAUACGGAAGGUCCAGGCGUUAUCCGGAUUUAUUGGGUUUAAAGGGAGCGUAGGCCGUGGAUUAAGCGUGUUGUGAAAUGUAGACGCUCAACGUCUGAAUUGCAGCGCGAACUGGUUCACUUGAGUAUGCACAACGUAGGCGGAAUUCGUCGUGUAGCGGUGAAAUGCUUAGAUAUGACGAAGAACUCCGAUUGCGAAGGCAGCUGACGGGAGCGCAACUGACGCUGAAGCUCGAAGGUGCGGGUAUCGAACAGGAUUAGAUACCCUGGUAGUCCGCACAGUAAACGAUGGAUGCCCGCUGUUGGUACUUGGUAUCAGCGGCUAAGCGAAAGCAUUAAGCAUCCCACCUGGGGAGUACGCCGGCAACGGUG